GACGAACGCUGGCGGCGUGCUUAACACAUGCAAGUCGAACGGAAAGGCCCUGCUUUUGUGGGGUGCUCGAGUGGCGAACGGGUGAGUAACACGUGAGUAACCUGCCCUUGACUUUGGGAUAACUUCAGGAAACUGGGGCUAAUACCGGAUAGGAGCUCCUGCUGCAUGGUGGGGGUUGGAAAGUUUCGGCGGUUGGGGAUGGACUCGCGGCUUAUCAGCUUGUUGGUGGGGUAGUGACUUACCAAGGCUUUGACGGGUAGCCGGCCUGAGAGGGUGACCGGGCAAACGGGGAGGGAGAGAAGGAGGAGACGACGACGCGCGGCGGCAGUGGGGAAGAUGGCACAAGGGGCGGUAGCCGGAGGCGGCGCAGCGGCGUGAGGCAGGGAGGGCUUGGGGGGGUGAAUCGCUGGCGCAAGUGAAGCAGGCCGGCCUCGUGUGCGGGGGGGCGGACGGUAGCGGGAUAAGAAGCGCCGGCUAACGACGUG
rnacentral:rRNA from 1 species